rnacentral:rRNA from 1 species
UACGGAGGGGGCUAGCGUUGUUCGGAAUUACUGGGCGUAAAGCGCACGUAGGCGGGUCGUUAAGUCAGGGGUGAAAUCCCGGAGCUCAACUCCGGAACUGCCUUUGAUACUGGCGAUCUUGAGAUCGGAAGAGGUGAGUGGAAUUCCCAGUGUAGAGGUGAAAUUCGUAGAUAUUGGGAAGAACACCAGUGGCGAAGGCGGCUCACUGGUCCGAUACUGACGCUGAGGUGCGAAAGCGUGGGGAGCAAACAGG